rnacentral:rRNA from 1 species
UACGUAGGGGGCAAGCGUUGUCCGGAUUUAUUGGGCGUAAAGAGCGUGUAGGCGGCCAUACAGGUCAGCUGUGAAAACUCGAGGCUCAACCUCGAGACGUCGGUUGAAACCGUAUGGCUAGAGUCCGGAAGAGGAGAGUGGAAUUCCCGGUGUAGCGGUGAAAUGCGUAGAGAUCCGGAGGAACACCAGUGGCGAAGGCGACACGCUGGGCCGUACCUGACACUGAACCGCGACAGCAUGGGGAGCAAACAGG